rnacentral:rRNA from 1 species
AGCGAACGCUGGCGGCAGGCCUAACACAUGCAAGUCGAACGAACCUUUCGGGGUUAGUGGCGGACGGGGGGGUAACACGUGGGAACGUGCCUUUAGGUUCGGAAUAACUCAGGGAAACUUGUGCUAAUACCGAAUGUGCCCUUCGGGGGAAAGAUUAAUCGCCUUUAGAGCGGCCCGCGUCUGAUUAGCUAGUUGGUUGAGGUAAUGGCUCACCAAGGCGACGAUCAGUAGCUGGUCUGAGAGGAUGAUCAGCCACAUUGGGACUGAGACACGGCCCAAACUCCUACGGGAGGCAGCAGUGGGGAAUCUUGCGCAAUGGGCGAAAGCCUGACGCAGCCAUGCCGCGUGAAUGAUGAAGGUCUUAGGAUUGUAAAAUUCUUUCACCGGGGACGAUAAUGACGGUACCCGGAGAAGAAGCCCCGGCUAACUUCGUG